rnacentral:snRNA from 1 species
GUGUUCACAGACAGAGAAGAUGAGCAUAGCCCUGAAUCAAAGAUGAUACACAAAUUCAUGAAAUGUUCCAUAGUUUU